rnacentral:tRNA from 1 species
UAUAUUUUAGUAUAUGAUGUACAUGAAUUUUUGAUAUUCAAAGAAAUAGUCUGAUUCUAUUAAAUA